rnacentral:rRNA from 1 species
AUGAACGCUGGCGGCGUGCCUAAUCCAUGCAAGUCGCGCGAACAGACGAGGAGCUUGCUCCUCUGACGUUAGCGGCGGACGGGUGAGUAACACGUGGAUAACCUACCUAUAAGACUGGGAUAACUUCGGGAAACCGGAGCUAAUACCGGAUAAUAUAUUGAACCGCAUGGUUCAAUAGUGAAAGACGGUUUUGCUGUCACUUAUAGAUGGAUCCGCGCCGCAUUAGCUAGUUGGUAAGGUAACGGCUUACCAAGGCAACGAUGCGUAGCCGACCUGAGAGGGUAAUCGGCAACACUGGAACUGAGACACGGUCCAGACUCCUACGGGAGGCAGCGGUAGGGAAUCUUCCGCAAUGGGCGAAAGCUUGACGGAGCAACGCCGCGUGAGUGAUGAAGGUCUUCGGAUCGUAAAACUCUGUUAUUAGGGAAGAACAAAUGUGUAAGUAACUAUGCACGUCUUGACGGUACCUAAUCAGAAAGCACGGCUAACUACGUG